rnacentral:tRNA from 1 species
GAUUGGCGCAGCGGAAGCGCAGUGGUCUCAUGAGCCGAAGGUCGGAGGUUCGAAUCCUCCAUC